AUGCACAACCCCCGCGGCAGCCGCAGCCGACAGACCGAGACCGACGCGGCUAGAGAGGGGAGAGGAGGCAUGCCGGACGGCGGGGGCGGGUCGGAUGGCGCGGGCGCGGGGGCGGGGAGGAUCAAGGGGUCGUGGAGCCCCGAGGAGGACGAGCUGCUGCGCGACGCCGUGGCGCGCCACGGGGCCCGGAACUGGACCGUCAUCAGCGCCGAGAUCCCCGGCCGGACGGGCAAGUCCUGCCGCCUGCGCUGGUGCAACCAGCUCAGCCCCGGGGUGCACCGCCGCGCCUUCACCCCCGACGAGGACCGCCUCAUCUUCGACCUCCACAGCAAGCACGGCAACAAGUGGGCCACCAUCGCGCGCAAGCUCGUCGGCCGCACCGACAACUCCGUCAAGAACCACUGGAACUCCACGCUCCGGAAGCGCCGCAGGGCGGCCGCGGCCGCCGCCACCGCCGGCAACGCGGCGGGCGGGCCCGCCUUCGCGCCCGCCUCUGCCAUGUCGUUCCAAUCUGUGGAUCUCACCAAGGGCGGGGAGGACGACUACGACGACGACGACGGCGACAGCGACAGCGACGGCUCGGUGGAACCGCCCGCCAGCGCCAAGCGGCCCCGCGUGGACGUCGUCCCUCCCGCGGUGAAGGUGGACGACCGGGCGCCGCCGCCCGACCCGCCCACGUCGCUGUCGCUCAGCCUGCCGGGAACCGGGGUCGGCGCCGUCAUCCCGCCGACUCCCCCGGCGCCGGUGCCAGCGCCAGCGCCGGCGAAGGAGCCCUGGAUGGAGAGCGCGAGGGCGAUGCUGGAGCAGAACCCGUGGUUCAUGGAGGCGAUGAAGCGGAUGGUCGAAGACGAGGUGCGGCGGCAAAUGGGCAGCGUGUGCUCCAUCAUGGCGUCCCUGGGCAGGGCCGGCGCGGCGGCGGCCACCCUGCCGACGGCCAGGGUCGACCGAUCAGAAACGCACCCGGCAGGCGGUCGAGACCAACGGACGGACGGAUAG
rnacentral:rRNA from 1 species